rnacentral:sRNA from 1 species
AGUUGCAAAUGAUCAGAGACGGGUGAACUGCAGGCAGCCUGUGUUGCUGCCUGGAAGUAGAUUUCCAUCUUUCAGACACUAGUUCCAAUGGGCCGGGUGUUCUGGAAGGGGGUGGCAGUGGGGAGGAGGAUGCUGUGAGCAGAGUUCUUGAAGCUCCACUCCUCUGGGGAAGCCGAGCUGUGUGGGAGCCUUCUUACUGUGCUGGGAGCGUGUGAAUUGGAAAGAUCCUGAGAGCUGGCUAGUCCCAGUUCCUCUCCGGAAAAGCAGUGGCUCUCGCUUCAGAGAUGCGCCCAGCUUUCGCCUGCAUCACACUGCAAUUCUACAAAGAAAUUAAAGGAUGUUCUUGAAGAAUUCCAUGGUAAUGGUGUGCUUGCAAAGUAUAAUCCUGAAGGGAAACAAGACAUUCUUAACCAAACAAUAGAUUUUGAAGGUUUCAAACUAUUCAUGAAGACAUUCCUGGAAGCCGAGCUU